ACGCUCGACACCUACGGAGGCAGCAGUUGGGAAUAUUGGACAAUGGAGGAAACUCUGAUCCAGUGACGCCGCGUGAAGGAAGAAGGUCUUCGGAUUGUAAACUUAUUUUGUCAGGGAAGAAAAAAUGACUGUACCUGAAGAAAAAGCACCGGCUAACUACGUGCAGCAGCCGCGGUAAUCUGAGCGGGCUGGCAAGGC
rnacentral:rRNA from 1 species